UACGUAGGGUGCAAGCGUUGUCCGGAAUUAUUGGGCGUAAAGAGCUUGUAGGCGGUUUGUCGCGUCUGCUGUGAAAUUUCGGGGCUCAACCCCGAACUUGCAGUGGGUACGGGCAGACUAGAGUGUGGUAGGGGAGACUGGAAUUCCUGGUGUAGCGGUGAAAAUGCGCAGAUAUCAGGAGGAACACCGAUGGCGAAGGCAGGUCUCUGGGCCAUAACUGACGCUGAGAAGCGAAAGCAUGGGGAGCGAACAGG
rnacentral:rRNA from 1 species